CUUCAAAAUGAGGAGAAGCCUAGGAAAGCAUGACUGGGUCAAUGUGAAACGGCAGCCUGGAGGUGUAACUCACACCUUCCAACAGGACUCAAGCAGGUGUUUGUGAUGCUGAUGGCAAAGAUUGCCAUUUCAUCUUUCCCAGAAGUCCCACAGACAUUUGACGUCGAGUCCUCAAAUAAAUCCAUGAAAAGGUUUAGAAGAAACAUUGCUGAAGACAUCAUGAAAGGAUCAGUACAUUUGAAGUGUCACGGGAUGAAUAUUGCUCUCUCUGAAAGAUCUUCCAAAAGGGGAUGAGAAGACAU